rnacentral:misc_RNA from 1 species
UCUAAAAAUAACUAACCUUGAAUUUCACAGUUUCAUGCUGUUUUGCGAUGGUUCCAUUCAUUUUCGGCUCAUGAUUUUUGAGAGGCAGCGGGACUGUGUGGAUGGCGAGGAGUUAAUUUCUUGAUUUCUUCGUGUACCAAUCUAUGUGCUGGAAGGAGUAGCUUUUCACAUCGCCAUAUUCGUUUUGGGUAAAAAUACAAACUUUCCAAUGCUGGAUCUAUUCUCGACGAGCCCGGAGGCUGUUGGCCACAGAUUGCCCAUGGACUUCUCGCCCUAUCUUCUGUCGGCCAGCCCGCCCGGCGCAGGCUUUGACUUGAUGGGCUACUCCGGACACCGCUCGCACGUUCACCUAGGAAUCGACCCACUGCCCUUUGACAAUGCAAAUUACUCCGCACAUCCUUCUUUCCCUUCACUCCAGAUGUCACAGCCAGGCCACACUAACUUAAACAAGCGCAGAAAUGGACCUCUGAAAUCCAUCAUUAUCCGACCGGAGAGUUGUAGCGACUCGGAGGGGGAGUCGUCCUCCUCAGCUCCUGAGAGUCCCCACUCCCCCGGCCGGACGCCCAAAAAGGUGUCGUUUGCCGACCACAAGGGCCUGGCCCUGGCACAGGUCCGAUUGGUCAAAGAAGGACCGGACGAACCGCCCCAGCUGAAUCCCGAAAUGUUGUCCUCAUUGACAUUGGGAGCUAACGCAGACGUGACCUGCAAGCCCCCCAUCAGGCUCUGCUUCUCCCAGCCAGCCUCGGAUUACCUGGCGUUCAGAGACAAAAUCAGCCGCAACUUGGUGAGUCUGGAGAAUGUGAUAUUGAGAGACUACUCGGUGGAGGGGACCAUUAAGGUCAAGAACAUCACCUUCGAGAAGCGCGUCUUUGUCCGGUUAUCGCUGGAUGAGUGGGAAAGUUUCGAGGACUUUGAGGGCACGUUUGUGCCAGGGCCCGGCCUGAGCUACUCGGACCCGUACGACACGUUCUCCUUCACCAUGGAGGUGUCGCCCACAUUUGACGUGUCCAAACAGCUACAGUUUGCCGUCUGCUUCGAGGAGAACGGCCAGCAACACUGGGACAACAACGACGGCGCCAAUUACUGUAUUGUUUCUGAACACUACGGCCAACACACUGCCAUGCCCCCUGCAGGGCCCACGUUCAAUCCAAGAUGGCUGCCGGAGAAACGCACGGACACUUGGGCAGAGUUCUCUGUGUGGAGAGAUGUGGACUCCCACGGGCCCUACUACUGACACGGGACGGAGUUUGUUCUGUGUUAUCUCACGUUUUGUUCACAAUUGUUGGAGAGAGAGACCAGGGGGAGGGGAGGAACCUCGCACUCAUCCUCCUCCCGACCUCCUCCUGACCUCCUCCUUCUGGUCCUUCAAGAUGGCCGCCACACUCGUGAGUCGAGUGCUAGCAUAGCCCAGGAUAUCGAUGAACCUCCGGCAGGGUACUCUGUGCAGGAGCUCUGAAAAUUGUUGACCUUGACGAGGCCGGUGACCUUGAGACCGGUGGUAGUGCCAGGUGGCAGGUAGACCCAGGCGACUGUCGGAAGUGCCAGGUUUUCUUCCAUGAUGGUGGUGGACGAUCACAGACCCUGGGCCAGGCCAACUGGAAGUGUCUUUGUCUGCUGGGAAAGUGACGACGGGCGUGUGUGUCCAAGCAAAUCUGUAGAAGUACCGAUACGUCGACCGGUGCGAGGGAAAUGAUCGGUAAUGGUCAGCCCCUUGAUGAGAUCAAGGGAAACUCACUGUACACGUUGAAGUUUGAUAACGUGUGGCGCAUGGCCGGCCGGCUUUGUAGUAAGAAAAUAAAGUGACAUUGUGAAAAGUUGAAACCUGAUUGCUGAAAGUGGGGAGACCCUUCCAACACUCGGUGGACUUGCAAUAGGACCAGUUUUGUGCACAGAAGCCUAUAGGUGGAGGACUUGUUCAUAUGUUUCUACAGUCCCAAACAAAACUGGUCACUUUGGCAGUCAGUGGCUCAUCUCCACACAGGCAUUUGCCCGUGACCUUUUGUUACCUUGUUUCUUUGACCUCUUGAACUUUAUGUGAUAGAAGUUGUCCGUGGUGGGAGAGGAGUGGCGAGGACGUCUGUAUUUGCUGGCCACUGACCUUUUUGAAGCGUUUGGAGGUGAAUGGUGAUUUGAGUGUUUGGAGGUGAAUGGUGAUUUGAGUGUUGGAGGUGAAUGGUGAUUUGAGUGUUUGGAGGUGAAUGGUGAUUUCAGUGUUUGGAGGUGAAUGGUAGGGCUGGGCGAAGAAUCGAAUGCGGAACCGAUUCCCAAGAUUAAUACUACAGAAGAAAAGUUCCGACUUCAUUUUACGAAAACCAAUGGUUACCAGUAAUUUUAAUUUAUAAUUUAAAUCCUCUUCUUUGUUUCGAAUUUAUUGGGGGAAAAAAGCAGCAAACAAACGAGCUGAUGCUUCGUAGUGUUCCGAAAUCAAGGUUAUCCUAUAUCCUGAAGAUAUUCAGAGCCAAUUAGGUAACCACUGAAAGAAGUCAUAUCAUUAGAAAGUAAGUAAUUGGGUUCGGAGUCGAUUCCUACGAUUCAUAGCCUUCAACAAUCGGGAACCGAGGCGCCCAGCACUAGUGAAUGGUGAUUUGAGUGUUUGGAGGUGAAUGGUGAUUUGAGUGUUUGGAGGUGAAUGGUGAUUUGAGUGUUUGGAGGUGAAUGGUGUUCCAGUAUUUGACAGUGAAAGGUAUUGUGAAAGUAUUUGGCAUCCAAUUGUGUUAUUUAAGUAUUUGGUAGUGAAUGGUGUUGUUGAAGUAUUUAGCAGUCAAUGGUGUCAUUUAAGUAUUUGGUGGUGAAUGGCGUUGUUAAAAUAUUUGACAUCCAAUGGUGUCGUGGAAGUGUUUGGUGAAUGGCGUGUAAUAUUUGGCACCCAAUGGUGUUGUUGAAGUAUUAGCUGUCAACGGUGUCAUUUAAGUAUUUGGCGGUGAAUGGCGUUGAAGAAUUUAACGGUCAAUGGUGUCAAAGUAUUUUGUCGUCAGUGAUGUUAAAGUUAAAGUAUUCGGCAAUUUGGUUGCCGGUCAAUUGUUUAAAGUAUUUUUAGCUUCCACAUCGAUUCAGGGUUUUCUGUUCUAUUUGGUUAUUUAUCCGAGUGUGCACAGCACUUGCCAGGUGCUGCGUGCUUCCCUCCUGUCGUGUCUCUGCUACAAGUUGCCACAUAGGCGACAGUCGAGUGAUUGGACCAGUGUAGAGAGAGAGAGAGCCUGCCUUUUCUUCUCCUAGAGAGCCUGCCUUUUCUUCUUUUCCGGCCUAUGUUCCGGGUCAAGGAUGGGCAGAGCUCAUGGAGUCUCCCUCGGAACAUUUCAGGACUCUUAAAAAAAAAUUCCAUAUAAGGAAUUGAGGUCAAUACAACAAUGAAUGACAUAGAAGGAAUUAUUCCGGGACUUAUGUCAUCCCGCGGUGUCAGUUUGUUCCUGUGCUGUGGAUAGGAAUCUGAUCUCAGUUAGAGCAGAGAGGUAGAAAAGUCCUCAGACCGCGGGCUUUCAACUGAUGGUUUUUGCCAAAGAGAAAAAUGUGCACAUUUUUUUCCUGCUCCUUCUUUUGUAAGAUCAUUUUAUUACCUGAUGACAUUUGGACCGUCAACAAGAGAUUAUUUUUUUAAAAGAAAAACUUGUAGUGGUUUGCCGCGAGCAAGACUCGCUAGUGUUGACAAAACAAUGAGGUAUUGUAGCAUACGUUCAAAGCAGAGGUAUUGUUGCUUGUGUGUAUGUUCAUCAAACAUAGCAGAGGUAUUGUUGCUUGUGUGUACGUUCAUCAAAGCAGAGGUAUUGUUGCUUGUGUGUACGUCAGAGGUAUUGUUGCUUGUGUGUAUGUUCAUCAAACAAAGCAGAGGUAUUGUUGCUUGUGUGUAUGUUCAUCAAACAAAGCAGAGGUAUUGUUGCUUGUGUGUACGUCAGAGGUAUUGUUGCUUGUGUGUACGUCAGAGGUAUUGUUGCUUGUGCGUACGUCAGAGGUAUUGUUGCUUGUGCGUACGUUCAAAGGAAGAGGUAUGGUUUUGUUGUAACAGGAUUUUCAUUUGUCACUCGGGA